rnacentral:rRNA from 1 species
AUUGAACGCUGGCGGAAUGCUUUACACAUGCAAGUCGAACGGCAGCACGGACUUCGGUCUGGUGGCGAGUGGCGAACGGGGGAGUAAUGUAUCGGAACGUGCCCAGGCGUGGGGGAUAACGUAGUGAAAAUUACGCUAAUACCGCAUACGAUCUAGGGAUGAAAGCGGGGGAUCGCAAGACCUCGCGCGAUUGGAGCGGCCGAUAUCAGAUUAGGUAGUUGGUGGGGUAAAGGCCCACCAAGCCAACGAUCUGUAGCUGGUCUGAGAGGACGACCAGCCACACUGGAACUGAGACACGGUCCAGACUCCUACGGGAGGCAGCAGUGGGGAAUUUUGGACAAUGGGCGAAAGCCUGAUCCAGCCAUUCCGCGUGCAGGAUGAAGGCCCUCGGGUUGUAAACUGCUUUUGUACAGAACGAAAAGGUUUCUACUGAUACUAGGAGCUCAUGACGGUACUGUAAGAAUAAGCACCGGCUAACUACGUGCCAGCAGCCGCAGUAA